rnacentral:pre_miRNA from 1 species
GAUAUACUCCCUCCGUUCCGAAUUACUUGUCGCGGGUAUGGAUGUAUCUAGAUGUAUUUUAGUUAUAGAUGCAUCCAUUUCUGCGACAAGUAAUUUGGAACGGAGGGAGUAGUUG